UACGUAGGGGGCAAGCGUUGUCCGGAUUUAUUGGGCGUAAAGAGCGUGUAGGCGGUUUGGUAGGUCCGCUGUGAAAACUCGAGGCUCAACCUCGAGACGCCGGUGGAAACCAUCAGACUAGAGUCCGGAAGAGGAGAGUGGAAUUCCUGGUGUAGUGGUGAAAUACGUAGAUAUCAGGAGGAACACCGGUGGCGAAGGCGGCUAUCUGGCCUAAUAUUGACGCUGAGAUGCGAAAGUGCGGGGAUCAAACAGG
rnacentral:rRNA from 1 species